UACGAAGGGUGCAAGCGUUAAUCGGAAUUACUCGGCGUAAAGGGUGCGUAGGCGGUUCGUUAAGUCUGUCGUGAAAUCCCCGGGCUCAACCUGGGAAUGGCGAUGGAUACUGGCGAGCUAGAGUGUGUCAGAGGAUGGUGGAAUUCCCGGUGUAGCGGUGAAAUGCGUAGAGAUCGGGAGGAACAUCAGUGGCGAAGGCGGCCAUCUGGGACAACACUGACGCUGAAGCACGAAAGCGUGGGGAGCAAACAGG
rnacentral:rRNA from 1 species